CCUUGACAUACUAAGAACUUUCCAGAGAUGGAUUGGUGCCUUCGGGAACUUAGAUACAGGUGCUGCAUGGCUGUCGUCAGCUCGUGUCGUGAGAUGUUGGGUAAGUCCCGNAACGAGCGCAACCCUUUUCCUAUUUGCCAGCGGGUCAUGCCGGGAACUUUAAGGAUACUGCCAGUGACAAACUGGAGGAAGGCGGGGACGACGUCAAGUCAUCAUGGCCCUUACGGCCAGGGCUACACACGUGCUACAAUGGUCGGUACAAAGGGUUGCUACCUCGCGAGAGGAUGCUAAUCUCAAAAAGCCGAUCGUAGUCCGGAUCGCAGUCUGCAACUCGACUGCGUGAAGUCGGAAUCGCUAGUAAUCGCGGAUCAGAAUGCCGCGGUGAGUACGUUCCCGGGCCUUGUACACACCGCCCGUCACACCAUGGGAGUUUGUUGCACCAGAAGUAGGUAGUCUAACCGCAAGGAGGACGCUUACCACGGUGUGGCCGAUGACUGGGGUGAAGUCGUAACAAGGUAAGCGUAGAUGA
rnacentral:rRNA from 1 species